rnacentral:rRNA from 1 species
GCGAUUUCCGAAUGGGGAAACCCAGUGUGUUUCGACACACUAUCAUUAACUGAAUCCAUAGGUUAAUGAGGCGAACCGGGGGAACUGAAACAUCUAAGUACCCCGAGGAAAAGAAAUCAACCGAGAUUCCCCCAGUAGCGGCGAGCGAACGGGGAGCAGCCCAGAGCCUGAAUCAGUGUGUGUGUUAGUGGAAGCGUCUGGAAAGGCGCGCGAUACAGGGUGACAGCCCCGUACACAAAAAUGCACAUACUGUGAGCUCGAUGAGUAGGGCGGGACACGUGGUAUCCUGUCUGAAUAUGGGGGGACCAUCCUCCAAGGCUAAAUACUCCUGACUGACCGAUAGUGAACCAGUACCGUGAGGGAAAGGCGAAAAGAACCCCGGCGAGGGGAGUGAAAAAGAACCUGAAACCGUGUACGUACAAGCAGUGGGAGCCUCUUAAUGGGGUGACUGCGUACCUUUUGUAUAAUGGGUCAGCGACUUAUAUUCUGUAGCAAGGUUAACCGAAUAGGGGAGCCGAAGGGAAACCGAGUCUUAACUGGGCGUUAAGUUGCAGGGUAUAGACCCGAAACCCGGUGAUCUAGCCAUGGGCAGGUUGAAGGUUGGGUAACACUAACUGGAGGACCGAACCGACUAAUGUUGAAAAAUUAGCGGAUGACUUGUGGCUGGGGGUGAAAGGCCAAUCAAACCGGGAGAUAGCUGGUUCUCCCCGAAAGCUAUUUAGGUAGCGCCUCGUGAAUUCAUCUCCGGGGGUAGAGCACUGUUUCGGCAAGGGGGUCAUCCCGACUUACCAACCCGAUGCAAACUGCGAAUACCGGAGAAUGUUAUCACGGGAGACACACGGCGGGUGCUAACGUCCGUCGUGAAGAGGGAAACAACCCAGACCGCCAGCUAAGGUCCCAAAGUCAUGGUUAAGUGGGAAACGAUGUGGGAAGGCCCAGACAGCCAGGAUGUUGGCUUAGAAGCAGCCAUCAUUUAAAGAAAGCGUAAUAGCUCACUGGUCGAGUCGGCCUGCGCGGAAGAUGUAACGGGGCUAAACCAUGCACCGAAGCUGCGGCAGCGACACUGUGUGUUGUUGGGUAGGGGAGCGUUCUGUAAGCCUGUGAAGGUGUACUGUGAGGUAUGCUGGAGGUAUCAGAAGUGCGAAUGCUGACAUAAGUAACGAUAAAGCGGGUGAAAAGCCCGCUCGCCGGAAGACCAAGGGUUCCUGUCCAACGUUAAUCGGGGCAGGGUGAGUCGACCCCUAAGGCGAGGCCGAAAGGCGUAGUCGAUGGGAAACAGGUUAAUAUUCCUGUACUUGGUGUUACUGCGAAGGGGGGACGGAGAAGGCUAUGUUGGCCGGGCGACGGUUGUCCCGGUUUAAGCGUGUAGGCUGGUUUUCCAGGCAAAUCCGGAAAACUAAGGCUGAGGCGUGAUGACGAGGCACUACGGUGCUGAAGCAACAAAUGCCCUGCUUCCAGGAAAAGCCUCUAAGCAUCAGGUAACAUCAAAUCGUACCCCAAACCGACACAGGUGGUCAGGUAGAGAAUACCAAGGCGCUUGAGAGAACUCGGGUGAAGGAACUAGGCAAAAUGGUGCCGUAACUUCGGGAGAAGGCACGCUGAUAUGUAGGUGAAGUCCCUCGCGGAUGGAGCUGAAAUCAGUCGAAGAUACCAGCUGGCUGCAACUGUUUAUUAAAAACACAGCACUGUGCAAACACGAAAGUGGACGUAUACGGUGUGACGCCUGCCCGGUGCCGGAAGGUUAAUUGAUGGGGUUAGCGGUAACGCGAAGCUCUUGAUCGAAGCCCCGGUAAACGGCGGCCGUAACUAUAACGGUCCUAAGGUAGCGAAAUUCCUUGUCGGGUAAGUUCCGACCUGCACGAAUGGCGUAAUGAUGGCCAGGCUGUCUCCACCCGAGACUCAGUGAAAUUGAACUCGCUGUGAAGAUGCAGUGUACCCGCGGCAAGACGGAAAGACCCCGUGAACCUUUACUAUAGCUUGACACUGAACAUUGAGCCUUGAUGUGUAGGAUAGGUGGGAGGCUUUGAAGUGUGGACGCCAGUCUGCAUGGAGCCGGCCUUGAAAUACCACCCUUUAAUGUUUGAUGUUCUAACGUUGGCCCCUGAUCGGGGUUGCGGACAGUGUCUGGUGGGUAGUUUGACUGGGGCGGUCUCCUCCUAAAGAGUAACGGAGGAGCACGAAGGUUGGCUAAUCCUGGUCGGACAUCAGGAGGUUAGUGCAAUGGCAUAAGCCAGCUUGACUGCGAGCGUGACGGCGCGAGCAGGUGCGAAAGCAGGUCAUAGUGAUCCGGUGGUUCUGAAUGGAAGGGCCAUCGCUCAACGGAUAAAAGGUACUCCGGGGAUAACAGGCUGAUACCGCCCAAGAGUUCAUAUCGACGGCGGUGUUUGGCACCUCGAUGUCGGCUCAUCACAUCCUGGGGCUGAAGUAGGUCCCAAGGGUAUGGCUGUUCGCCAUUUAAAGUGGUACGCGAGCUGGGUUUAGAACGUCGUGAGACAGUUCGGUCCCUAUCUGCCGUGGGCGCUGGAGAACUGAGGGGGGCUGCUCCUAGUACGAGAGGACCGGAGUGGACGCAUCACUGGUGUUCGGGUUGUCAUGCCAAUGGCACUGCCCGGUAGCUAAAUGCGGAAGAGAUAAGUGCUGAAAGCAUCUAAGCACGAAACUUGCCCCGAGAUGAGUUCUCCCUGACUCCUUGAGAGUCCUGAAGGAACGUUGAAGACGACGACGUUGAUAGGCCGGGUGUGUAAGCGCAGCGAUGCGUUGAGCUAACCGGUACUAAUGAACCGUGAGGCUUAACCUUACAACGCCGAAGGUGUUU